CUCGAGAUUUUAUAGCGCACAGUUAAAUGCUCACAAAAGAAUUUUCGAUUUGAACACGUAAUUCAGCUUACAUUGUUGAAAGGGUCUAUUUUACGACCGGGAAUACUAUUAACCUACCAGUGUUCACGUAUUAGCUUAUUGUGAAGUGAAACAGAACGUGAACUCAAUUCAUUAUGUUGAUACACGAUGUAAUAUACAGUUGACUUACAAAUCUGUUACAGAAAUAUGUGUGUAAUGUGUCAUGUGAGGACGAGAAGCAGUUAGCUACGAGCCAGCAGAGGGUAACAAACAGGGACGUACGUUUGAGAAUGAUACCAGUGCUCACGCGCUGAAAGGACAAUCGGGAUAAUCGAACGUUACAUACGUCUGCUAUACCAAGUGUGUUUUUGUGAUCCCAGAGCAACCACUCGAGUGUAAACGUUGUAGGUCCAUAUGAUUUUUGACAACAGUACAUUCAGUUGUUUAGGUUGAAGUUAAGCCGUUCAACCCAGGCUGCUCUAAAAUGGAUUAAGCUCAUAGUUGGUAAAAAGUGAAGAGAGGGAUUUGUAAGCAUCUGAAAAGUCGUCCAAAGCAAAACCAAGAUACCGGUAGGCGAUUCAAGAUGCCUUCAUUCUGGAAGUGUCUUUGUAUGCCAAGUAGAAGAACGCGCAUGCGUUCUGAGAGAAGAAAAUGGCAGAAUUUGAAUAUUGGUUCGGGCCCGUCUUUAUCAAUUCAAAGUAGUAAACAUAGAUUAUUGGACCACAGUGACCCAGGCUUUUACGACUCAGAUGUUAUUAUACCUCCAGUGGUCGAUAGCUGGUCUAGACUAGAAAACCAACCUGGCGUGAAAAAGCGAAAAAAAUUGGAUGAAAUUUUUGAACGUCCCAAACCGGACCCUUUUCAAACUUCUGGCGAUUCUUUUCAUUUGAAAUCAAUAGGAUUUCCGUGUAUGGUGGCGCCACAUCUUGAAAGCAUGUACGGUUACACCCCAAGGGCAGUGCAAGACAUUUACGCCUCGUCGGCUUUAGAGGGUGGCGCGGUGGAGGACUAUUUUACAGAGUGCCGAAAUGACAAAGUUCUCGACAAAUUCGCUACAGCAGAACGCUGCAACACGAGUUUAGAAACGAACACGAUUACAAAUAUAGUGCAUUCCAAAACCGAAGAUCGUAGGAAGAAAUAUAUCGUGGACAGCGAGGGCGAUUUGUCGUCAUCAGAAUCGGACAUGGAUGUUACUGACUUUCCAGAACUUUUCCCAAAUACCAAAUAUCAUGAUGUUUGGCCAAAUAUUAACGCAUUAGCGCAAAGUACAGAAAGUCAAAAUGGUUAUAUGUGUCAAUCUGAGUUUCGCGGCUUUCAGAAUCAACAUUUUGAUGAAAUAUUUGGUGGAGACGGUGAAGUACUAUAUUAAUGUGCAGCGUAGAAUUCUGUUGAUGUUAUUGACUUUUAUCAGAUGUGCUCUUUUUUAAACAAACAAAAAUACAAAAAAAACCCCUCAAAAUCACAACAGAUUUAUUUAAAAAUUUGUUAAAAUAUAGUUAUGGAAACAGAUUAACAAAAUGUGCUUUUAAAAAAUUAAGCAUACCCUCACUUUAUAUUAAAUAUAAUAUGUUAAGUAUAACGGGCGAAAUGUCAGAAUAAUAAUAAAUAAAUCCCAUCUUAAUUUAUAACAUUUUUUUAUAUCCCCGAAUUCAAGUAAUUAAUACAUAUUGUGAUAUAUCUUCUUAAAAAUGUCAACUCAUUCUUGUGUUAGACUAUAAUAACAGUCAUGUUUGAAACUAAAAUAGAACAUUUUAACAGAAGUUAAACAAUGGCCCAUCUGUUUUUGUUGUGCGCUACAUUUUAUAUAGUAUAUAAUUUGUAUUCAGGAUACAAUGACGUUUAUUUUCUUUUCGUGUAUGGUGAAACCUAACGGUAAUAUUUUACCGUUAGUAAAUGACACGUCCAUUCGUAUAAUAUUUACGUACACACGUGUCUAACAAAAAAAAUUCCUUAUCCUCACAUAAACAUUUUAUUACUUAUCAUAUGAAAUAUAAGUACUAGUAGUAAAGCAAAACGUGUAAUGCUUUCAUAAUGAAAUAAAACCACAUACUGAAAGACCAAAGGUUGAUUACCUUCAGUUUUAUAUGUCUUCACGUUGGUCUUUUUUUCUAUUAUUCUGUUGAUUUCUAUUCAUCCGUGAAUAAUGCCCCACUUUCACCGUUAUCAAUUAAGAAUGGGCGAAUUGGUUAUCAAAUAACAUUAUAUUCACACAUGUAAAAUACACUGUAAGAUUUGAGAAAGCAUUCAUAACUUUUGGGUUCAUAAGACAUGAUAGUUUGCAGUGUUAGGUACGUUGUUUUAUGUAAUAAAAGUGUACCAGGUAAUUUAGGAUGCGUAACAAGUCAUUUUCUCGUGCACUACACCAGUCUCUGUAGUGAAAGAACUUGAAUUUGAGGCCCCUUAUUCAAUAGUUUAAUUGAGUAUGUAUUUCUUUCUAGUGCACCUAGUAUCAUCUAUUCCUAUGUAUUUGGAAAGUUCACCUCAUUAUUUGGAAAACUUUUCAAACAUUGAAAUCAAACAUUUAAAGAAGAAAGGUUCACUAAUUUGAUCGUAAAAAAAUGCACCGUGCAAUUUUCAAUAUUGAUUUGUAAAUAAAAGAAGUGUUUAGAAUAGAAGUAUUCUAUUUAGUCUAUUUUUAAGUUGGUUCCAUUGUAAUUUAUAUUUAACUUAAUUGAUAUAAUAAUCGUUUUGGAUAUAUGUAUACACUAACUAUAAUCCAUAUUUUCAUUUACAAUAUUUACUGAAGCAUUAAGCCGUUGAAGAAUCGAAUAUUUGUAUCGUUUCUUUCUCUAUUCUUAAUAGAAAAGUUCAUCUGCGAAAGGAUAGUGCAAUGGUUAAUAUAACAUAAUAUGUAAUACCGCGUUAAGACAAGGGAAUAAAAAAUGUAACUAUUAUUGUACAUAUGAAGAUUAUAAACAGUUAAUUGUAAAAAAUAACAAAAAAAUAUACGUGUUUAUAUUACCAUCUACUUUAUAAUUAAUUUGUAAAUCUGUCAUAAAUGGUUAUAAGAAAAAAUGUUUUCUAGUUUUGCAUAGUAUAGUGAUAUUUGGAUAAGCUGGUAAAAGGACUAACUGAUACUGUGCUUUUUUUUCUAGUGGGUAUAAUUGAAUUCGAAUAUAUUAUGUAGGCCUCUAAAACUCACAUUUACGAUUCCGUUGCCAGUGCAGCAACAAAAUACAUCGCUGUUCUGUUAAGACAACCGCAGAUGUCUGUUCUUGGAAUAGAGAAGUUAAAUAACUGUACAUUGUUGAAUAUAUUACAUUUUAAUUUUAAAAUGUUUGUCAAUCUAGUCAUUAUGUAUCAUUCCUUAUAUGGACCCUAUUCAAAAAUUGCCCUAUGAUAGAUGUAACACACUAACCCCUGCAAGGUUCGUCAAAUUUUGUUUGAAAGUCUACCUUGGUAUUGAUAAAAAUAUUUUAUGAAACAGUCACAAUGCUACCAAAAUCAAGGAAAAUGUUAGAUAUUCUAUUUACAGACAAACAUACAAGUCAGAAUAAAAGUCAAAUAUAUGAUCUGAGACAACAUUGUCGGUCGGGUUUGUCAAAUUCUUUAAGAACAAGAUACUCUCUCCAUCCUGACCACAUGCAACUGUAAACGUAGGUAUAUAUGAUUUCUAUAUUACUUCUUCCUAUGCAAACAAGGAUAUAUAUAUAUAAAUUAUGUAUAUUUAAGUUCAGAUCUACUGGAUGGAAAAGAACUCAAUUUUAUCUAUAAUACCAAAUUGAGAAUACAGAUAAAGAAUGAUUAUACAAUAUGGCGUGUUUGACAGUCAUACGUCUCAAAGAAGCGACAUUAUAAUAACACAUUCGAUACCAAAAUUUGACCAUGAUCAGUCACAUGGUGAUAUUGAUCGCACUAUUUAUAUAAAAACACGUCAAAUCGAAGUUUCUAUUUACCGUUUCUACCCAUAAAUAAAGCCACUUAAUCCACUUUUACUCGUGGGGCUACUUCCAUAUCAAGGAAAUGCCGUAGAAUAUUUUAGAAAUUCUUUUGACGCCAACAGCAGUUGUUUAUAUUAGUAAAUCUUAUGGAAGUUCUGGUGGCGGCGUUAUUGUAGACGAAGAUGUCUAGAUUUUUUUAUAGGGAUUAGGCGACUUUCUGCUGUGUAUUGCCUGUAACAGUUUGUAACGCAAUGA